rnacentral:rRNA from 1 species
GAUGAACGCUGGCGGCGUGCCUAAUACAUGCAAGUCGAGCGAACGGACGAGAAGCUUGCUUCUCUGAUGUUAGCGGCGGACGGGUGAGUAACACGUGGAUAACCUACCUAUAAGACUGGGAUAACUUCGGGAAACCGGAGCUAAUACCGGAUGAUAUUUUGAACCGCAUGGUUCAAAAGUGAAAGACGGUCUUGCUGUCACUUAUAGAUGGAUCCGCGCUGCAUUAGCUAGUUGGUAAGGUAACGGCUUACCAAGGCAACGAUGCAUAAACGACCUGAGAGGGUGAUCGGCCACACUGGAACUGAGACACGGUCCAGACUCCUACGGGAGGCAGCAGUAGGGAAUCUUACGCAAUGGGCGAAAGCCUGACGGAGCAACGCCGCGUGAGUGAUGAAGGUCUUCGGAUCGGGAAACUCUGUUAUUAGGGGAGAACAUAUGUGUAAGUAACUGUGCACAUCUUGACGGUAACUAAUCAGAAAGCCACGGCUAACUACGUG